UUUGCAUGACAUGCAGGAUGUAUCUGAGA
rnacentral:piRNA from 1 species